UACGAAGGGGGCUAGCGUUGCUCGGAAUCACUGGGCGUAAAGCGCGCGCAGGUGGUUCCUUAAGUCUGAUGUGAAAGCCCACGGCUCAACCGUGGAGGGUCAUUGGAAACUGGGGAACUUGAGUGCAGAAGAGGAAAGUGGAAUUCCAAGUGUAGCGGUGAAAUGCGUAGAGAUUUGGAGGAACACCAGUGGCGAAGGCGACUUUCUGGUCUGUAACUGACACUGAGGCGCGAAAGCGUGGGGAGCAAACAGG
rnacentral:rRNA from 1 species